rnacentral:rRNA from 1 species
UAGGGAAUAUUGGACAAUGGGGGCAACCCUGAUCCAGCCAUGCCGCGUGCAGGAAGACUGCCCUAUGGGUUGUAAACUGCUUUUGUACGGGAAGAAACCUUCGAAUGCGUUCGGAGUUGACGGUACCGUGAGAAUAAGGAUCGGCUAACUUCGUGCCAGCAGCCGCGGUAAUACGAAGGAUCCAAGCGUUGUCCGGAUUUACUGGGUUUAAAGGGUGCGUAGGCGGUUAAUUAAGUCAGUGGUGAAAGCCCUCAGCUUAACUGAGGAAUUGCCAUUGAAACUGAUUAGCUGGAGUAUGGUUGAGGUAACUGGAAUGUAACAUGUAGCGGUGAAAUGCUUAGAUAUGUUACAGAACACCGAUUGCGAAGGCAGGUUACUAAGCCAUAACUGACGCUGAGGC